GAUGAACGCUGGCGGCGUGCCUAACACAUGCAAGUCGAGCGGACGGACGUGCAUUUCGCUUCUCUUAUGUUGGAGUCGGGUGGGUAAGUAACACGUAACUCACCUGUGUUUAAGACUCAGCUAGCUUCUAAGACCCGUAGCCAAUAUCUGAUUAUAUUUUGGACCGCAUGGUUCUACAUUUAAAGACAGUCUUGCUUCUACUUGUAGGUGGUUCCGUGCUGCAUUAUCUAGUUGGUAAGGGGACGGCUUACCAAGGCAACGAUGCCUAGCCGACCUGAGAGGGUGAUCGGGCACACUGGAACUGAGACAGGGUCCAGACUCCUACGGGAGGCAGAAGUAGGGAAUCUGCAGCAAUGGGCGAAAGCCUGACGGAGAAACGCCGCGUGAGUGAUGAAGGUCUCCGGAUCGUAAAACUCUGUUAUUAGGGAAGAACAGAAGUGUAAGUAGCUGUGCACGUCUUGACGGUAGCGAAACAAGAAGCAACGGCUAACUACGUG
rnacentral:rRNA from 1 species